rnacentral:rRNA from 1 species
AUGAACGCUGGCGGCGUGCCUAAUACAUGCAAGUCGAGCGAACAGACGAGGAGCUUGCUCCUCUGACGUUAGCGGCGGACGGGUGAGUAACACGUGGAUAACCUACCUAUAAGACUGGGAUAACUUCGGGAAACCGGAGCUAAUACCGGAUAAUAUAUUGAACCGCAUGGUUCAAUAGUGAAAGACGGUUUUGCUGUCACUUAUAGAUGGAUCCGCGCCGCAUUAGCUAGUUGGUAAGGUAACGGCUUACCAAGGCAACGAUGCGUAGCCGACCUGAGAGGGUGAUCGGCCACACUGGAACUGAGACACGGUCCAGACUCCUACGGGAGGCAGCAGUAGGGAAUCUUCCGCAAUGGGCGAAAGCCUGACGGAGAAACGCCGCGUGAGUGAUGAAGGUCUUCGGAUCGUAAAACUCUGUUAUUAGGGAAGAACAAAUGUGUAAGUAACUAUGCACGUCUUGACGGUACCUAAUCAGAAAGCCACGGCUAACUACGUG